CUCUGUUGCUGUUCAGUGGCUUCAUCAAGUUGCUAGAACUGAUCGCUCCUCAUCUGGUUCAUCCUCUUCUUCUGGACAUCCAAAAUAGUAUAUCUUCUUUAGAUCACUUCUAUGUUUCCCAUGUUGCGUCUCUCCCUCCCUCUGUGCGCAGUCUUGAUCGGGCUGAUAUAUAUGGUGUGUGUUACUCUCGGCUGUAAACCGGU
rnacentral:lncRNA from 1 species